GAUGAACGCUGGCGGCGUGCCUAAUACAUGCAAGUCGAGCGAACAGACGAGGAGCUUGCUCCUCUGACGUUAGCGGCGGACGGGUGAGUAACACGUGGAUAACCUACCUAUAAGACUGGGAUAACUUCGGGAAACCGGAGCUAAUACCGGAUAAUAUAUUGAACCGCAUGGUUCAAUAGUCAAAGACGGUUUUGCUGUCACUUAUAGAUGGAUCCGCGCCGCAUUAGCUAGUUGGUAAGGUAACGGCUUACCAAGGCAACGAUGCGUAGCCGACCUGAGAGGGUGAUCGGCCACACUGGAACUGAGACACGGUCCAGACUCCUACGGGAGGCAGCAGUAGGGAAUCUUCCGCAAUGGGCGAAAGCCUGACGGAGCAACGCCGCGUGAGUGAUGAAGGUCUUCGGAUCGUAAAACUCUGUUAUUAGGGAAGAACAAAUGUGUAAGUAACUAUGCACGUCUUGACGGUACCUAAUCAGAAAGCCACGGCUAACUACGUG
rnacentral:rRNA from 1 species